rnacentral:rRNA from 1 species
UACGUAUGGGGCAAGCGUUAUCCGGAUUUACUGGGUGUAAAGGGAGCGCAGACGGAACUGCAAGUCUGAUGUGAAAGCCCGGGGCUCAACCGCGGGACUGCAUCGGAUACUGUAGAUCUGGAGUGCCGGAGGGGCAAGCGGAAUUCCUGGUGUAGCGGUGAAAUGCGUAGAUAUCAAGAAGAACACCAGUGGCGAAGGCGGCUCUCUGGCCUAGAACUGACGCUGAAGCGCGAAAGCGUGGGUAGCGAACGGGAUUAGAUA